GUCCCAGCCGUAAACGAUGGACACUAGGUGUUGGUGGUAUCAACCCCGCCAGUGCCGUAGCUAACGCAUUAAGUGUCCCGCCUGGGGAGUACGGCCGCAAGGCUAAAACUCAAAGGAAUUGACGGGGGCCCGCACAAGCAGCGGAGCGUGGGGUUUAAUUCGAUGCAACGCGAAGAACCUUACCAGGGCUUGACAUGACCAGGAAGUCGGCGGAAACGUCGGUGCCCCGCAAGGGGCCUGGCCACAGGUGUUGCAUGGCUGUCGU
rnacentral:rRNA from 1 species